CAGUCAUAUGCUUGUCUCAAAGAUUAAGCCAUGCAUGUCUAAGUAUAAACAAUCUAUACUUGUGAAACUGCGAAUGGCUCAUUAAAUCAGUUAUAGUUUAUUUGAUAGUAUCUUACUACUUGGAUAACCGUGGUAAUUCUAGAGCUAAUACAUGCACACUAACCCGACUUCUGAAGGGUUGUAUUUAUUAGAUACAAAACCAAACUAGGGAGCAAUCCUUAGUGCUUGAUGAUUCAUAAUAACUUUACGAAUCGCAUGGCUUAACGCCGGCGAUGAA
rnacentral:rRNA from 1 species